GUCGUGCAAUUUUCUUCCUAAUACAUACAUACAGUAGGUUAAGAAGUACAGUAAUUGGUUUUACCCCUGCACGCUUGAGGAUGCUUUUCUUAAGGCGGGUAUCCACUUGCGAAUCUCUCCUGCGAGUUGCUUUGGCGAACACUUGCAAGUUGUGUAUCCAUUUGAGAGCAGCUUCCAAAGUUUCCACUCUCAGGAAGAACAACAACUCUCGCCACAGAUGAUUAUCAAAACUUACAGAUACACAAUGGGUUGAAGCUUUCGAUGAUUUCUGUUGAAAUGUAAAAGUUAAUGGUUUAUUACCAUAUAUGUAUAAUGAUGAUAGAGGGACUCUCGUUUUUACGAUUUUUAUAGGAGC